rnacentral:ncRNA from 1 species
ACGUCGUUGGUUCGGCGUUCCGGCGUCGAGGCAAGAGGGAAUCCGGUGAGAAUCCGGGACUGUCCCGCAGCGGUAAGUGGCGACGAUGGCUUUCACAAGGCACUGGAGAGAUCUGGGAAGCGAAAGCCGGAGGUUGGUGUUACACCUGGAACCACAAGUCCGAAGACCUGCCAGCGA